rnacentral:lncRNA from 1 species
UGGUUUCCUUCCAGCCAAAGGGCUUCUUCCUUUUUCAUGUAUUCCUCUUUCACCCAGAGCAGCUGCAGGAUUCAGACCUACAAGAUGCUCCAUGAGGUGGAAAUUGAUCCGUGAGCCAGCUGUGCUGUUCUUGGGUUGGUCCUGUCUCAGUCUUUGAACUUCUAAGGAGAAUAAAAGCAUCCAACUAAGAAAUCUGAAGACCACUGGACAAAUGAGACAUCUGAAGAAGAGGGGAGAGUCAUCCAGACUAAAUAUCCCAAGAAAAGGAGUACAUUGGCCUAACAGAAUAGCACAUUUCCAACAGUAUAAAAUUUUAUAAAUCUUCACAAAUGUUUGUUUCUGCUGUUCUCUACAGACAUAUAAGGCAAAUGGCUUUUUUGUAGUAUCAAUUCAAUUAAAAAUUAAAGCUGG